GACGAACGCUGGCGGCGUGCUUAACACAUGCAAGUCGAACGGAAAGGCCCUGCUUUUGUGGGGUGCUCGAGUGGCGAACGGGUGAGUAACACGUGAGUAACCUGCCCUUGACUUUGGGAUAACUUCAGGAAACUGGGGCUAAUACCGGAUAGGAGCUCCUGCUGCAUGGUGGGGGUUGGAAAGUUUCGGCGGUUGGGGAUGGACUCGCGGCUUAUCAGCUUGUUGGUGGGGUAGUGGCUUACCAAGGCUUUGACGGGUAGCCGGCCUGAGAGGGUGACCGGCCACAUUGGGACUGAGAUACGGCCCAGACUCCUACUGGAGGCAGCAGUGUGGAAUAUUCCACAAUGGGCGGAAGCCUGAUGCAGCAACGCCGCGUGCGGGAUGACGGCCUUCGGGUUGUAAACCGCUUUCGCCUGUGACGAAGCGUGAGUGACGGUAAUGGGUAAAGAAGCACCGGCUAACUACGUG
rnacentral:rRNA from 1 species